CUCCUCCCACCCUUACCAGCACAGGGGGUGGUUACCUCCUCUCUUCUCUGGCCCUAAUCACCAGCCACCUUUCUCCAGAACAGGCACCGAAGGUCUGCAGAAAAGAGCUUGCUGCUGACUUGAAUAUCCUUAGACUGAGAAUAAUGACUUCUCUUCUAACCACCAUCUUCGAAGUUGGAAGCAUACCGUGUCUUGCUGCUGGCCCACCUACAUUGUGCAUGGCUUGAGGAUGCUGGACUCUGCCCUGCCAGAGCAAGGAACAGGGCAUUACCUGAAAGCUGUAUGUGUCCAUAGAUUCCUAAAGGUAGUUAAGUUGGAUUGAAUGACAUUCUGAUGGGAAUGGGAAAAAUAAACCAUUCUGGGUACAUGUUACUUUAUUCACUUUGAUGAUAACCCAAGGAUUUUAAGUUCUGUAUCCCUCAAAUACUUAGUUAACUCUCUUGCAUUAUGAUUUGGCUCUGUACAGGUCUGACAUUACAACAGAAAGCCAUACAGGGCUAAGUGAUAGCUUGUGUCUUUUGGUUGAAAGUUUUUUCUUUUUUUUGACAUUUCCUUGUACAGUUUCACUGAGUGUGUGUGGCAGGACUGUCUUGAUAUGUGCAUUCUCUGUUCUUGUUUAUCCCAUACCUCAUCCUGAUAUGAGGAACCAGGCAACAACAAUGAUAAAAGCCAAGGUACUGAU